rnacentral:tRNA from 1 species
AAAUGAUGGUUCAACUCCUUCCCCUACUA